rnacentral:snoRNA from 1 species
CUGCAACGAUGGCAGUAUUUUUCAUUAAUAGUAGUUCACCUUGUGAGUGUUGAUACUUUGGAUCUGAGUGA